rnacentral:rRNA from 1 species
AUGAACGCUGGCGGCGUGCCUAAUACAUGCAAGUCGAGCGAACAGACGAGGAGCUUGCUCCUCUGACGUUAGCGGCGGACGGGUGAGUAACACGUGGAUAACCUACCUAUAAGACUGGGAUAACUUCGGGAAACCGGAGCUAAUACCGGAUAAUAUAUUGAACCGCAUGGUUCAAUAGUGAAAGACGGUUUUGCUGUCACUUAUAGAUGGAUCCGCGCCGCAUUAGCUAGUUGGUAAGGUAACGGCUUACCAAGGCAACGAUGCGUAGCCGACCUGAGAGGGUGAUCGGCAACACUGGAACUGAGACACGGUCCAGACUCCUACGGGAGGCAGCAGUAGGGAAUCUUCCGCAAUGGGCGAAAGCCUGACGGAGCAACGCCGCGUGAGUGAUGAAGGUCUUCGGAUCGUAAAACCCUGUUAUUAGGGAAGAACAAAUGUGUAAGUAACUAUGCACGUCUUGACGGUACCUAAUCAGAAAGCCACGGCUAACUACGUG